rnacentral:rRNA from 1 species
AGAGUUUGAUCCUGGCUCAGAACGAACGCUGGCGGCGUGCUUAACACAUGCAAGUCGAACGAGAAAGCUUCCUUCGGGAAGUAAGUAGAGUGGCGCACGGGUGAGUAACGCGUAGGUAAUCUACCCUUAUGACUGGGAUAACAUUGGGAAACUGGUGCUAAUACCGGAUACACUUCUUUACUGCGGGGUAAAGGAGGAAAGGUGGCCUCUUCAUGAAAGCUACCGUAUAGGGAUGAGCCUGCGUACCAUUAGCUAGUAGGCGGGGUAACGGCCCACCUAGGCAACGAUGGUUAGCGGGUCUGAGAGGAUGAUCCGCCACACUGGAACUGGAACACGGACCAGACUCCUACGGGAGGCAGCAGUGAGGAAUAUUGCGCAAUGGGGGAAACCCUGACGCAGCGACGCCGCGUGAGUGAGGAAGGUUUUCGGAUCGUAAAGCUCUGUCAGAAGGGAAGAAGUGUUAUAUGUUUAAUACGCAUAUAAUUUGACGGUACCUUCAGAGGAAGCACCGGCUAACUCCGUGCCAGCAGCCGCGGUAAUACGGAGGGUGCAAGCGUUGUUCGGAAUUACUGGGCGUAAAGGGCGCGUAGGCGGCUGGAUAAGUCAGAUGUGAAAGUCCAUGGCUCAACUGUGGAAGUGCAUUUGAAACUGUCCGGCUUGAGUAUCGGAGGGGAGUGUGGAAUUCCCGGUGUAGAGGUGAAAUUCGUAGAGAUCGGGAGGAACACCGGUGGCGAAGGCGACACUCUGGACGAAUACUGACGCUGAGGCGCGAAAGCGUGGGGAGCAAACAGGAUUAGAUACCCUGGUAGUCCACGCCGUAAACGAUGUGAACUAGGGAUAGGGGGUGUUGAUCCCUCCUGUCCCGCAGCUAACGCAUUAAGUUCACCGCCUGGGGAGUACGGUCGCAAGAUUAAAACUCAAAGGAAUUGACGG